UAACGCGAAGAACCUUACCAGGUCUUGACAUACUAUGCAAAUCUAAGAGAUUAGACGUUCCCUUCGGGGACAUGGAUACAGGUGGUGCAUGGUUGUCGUCAGCUCGUGUCGUGAGAUGUUGGGUUAAGUCCCACAACGAGCGCAACCCUUAUUAUCAGUUACCAGCAUUAAGUUGGGCACUCUGGUGAGACUGCCGGUGACAAACCGGAGGAAGGUGGGGAUGACGUCAAAUCAUCAUGCCCCUUAUGACCUGGGCUACACACGUGCUACAAUGGAUGGUACAACGAGUUGCGAACUCGCGAGAGUAAGCUAAUCUCUUAAAGCCAUUCUCAGUUCGGAUUGUAGGCUGCAACUCGCCUACAUGAAGUCGGAAUCGCUAGUAAUCGUGGAUCAGA
rnacentral:rRNA from 1 species